rnacentral:rRNA from 1 species
UACGUAGGGGGCAAGCGUUGUCCGGAUUUAUUGGGCGUAAAGAGCGUGUAGGCGGCCAGGGAGGUCCGUUGUGAAAACUCGAGGCUCAACCUCGAGACGCCGAUGGAAACCCCCUGGCUAGAGUCCGGAAGAGGAGAGUGGAAUUCCUGGUGUAGCGGUGAAAUGCGCAGAUAUCAGGAGGAACACCGGUGGCGAAGGCGGGUCUCUGGGCCGUAACUGACGCUGAGGAGCGAAAGCGUGGGGAGCGAACAGG